rnacentral:rRNA from 1 species
GACAGAGGUGCCGAGCGUUAGGCGGAAUCACUGGGCUUAAAGCGUGUGUAGGCGGGCGGGCAAGUACCUUGUGAAAUCCCACGGCUCAACCGUGGAACGGCUGGGUAUACUGCCUGUCUUGAGCCAACUAGGGGCGAGCGGAACAGACGGUGGAGCGGUGAAAUGCGUAGAUAUCGUCUGGAACGCCAAAGGUGAAAACAGCUCGCUGGGGUUGUGCUGACGCUGAGACACGAAAGCCAGGGGAGCGAACAGG